UAAUAGAAAAUAUCAUUAUGGGAGGAAUGGGGAAACAGGCAGACUACAGACAACUCAGGAUAAAUACACAGAAGUACAUCCUGGCAUUUGGCCGCACGACUAACUGACAGUUAAAUAACGGAUUUCUCACUUUCAUUUCUGGGAUCAGAGUGUGACAUCUGGUCGCUGGGGAUAACCGCCAUCGAAAUGGCCGAGGGAAAACCACCAUACGCAGAUGAAUACCCGGUGGAGCACCUGAUUAGAGAAGCCCAACA